rnacentral:rRNA from 1 species
AUUGAACGCUGGCGGCAGGCCUAACACAUGCAAGUCGAGCGAGCGGCGGACGGGUGAGUAAUGUCUGGGAAACUGCCUGAUGGAGGGGGAUAACUACUGGAAACGGUAGCUAAUACCGCAUACCAUCAGAUGUGCCCAGAUGGGAUUAGCGAGUGGGUGGGGUAACGGCUCACCUAGGCGACGAUCCCUAGCUGGUCUGAGAGGAUGACCAGCCACACUGGAACUGAGACACGGUCCAGACUCCUACGGGAGGCAGCAGUGGGGAAUAUUGGACAAUGGGGGCAAGCCUGAUGCAGCCAUGCCGCGUGUGUGAAGAAGGCCUUCGGGUUGUAAAGUACUUUUGGCGGGGAAGCGUUACCCGCAGAAGAAGCACCGGCUAACUCCGUGCCAGCAGCCGCGGUAAUAC